GUGCGAGGUGGCAGCAGCCGGGAAGUGCAGCCAGAUUGGGAGACGACGCAUCUUGGCCACGCGACAAGUGAAAACAAGAUGCCCAACUCGAGUGCAAUUGCCAUCCAAAAAUAAUUCCCCAGCGGCCGCUGGGAGCCCGGAGUCCGGGACCCAAGAUGAGUGCACAGUGAAACGCAAUCACAGCAAUAUCAGCCACAGACGCGUCACAAUUUUAAUUUGUGUUUAAUUUCACACACACACACACACAUAAC
rnacentral:lncRNA from 1 species